rnacentral:sRNA from 1 species
UAUAUCACUUUGUAUUGAGAUACCGCC